rnacentral:rRNA from 1 species
GACGAACGCUGGCGGCGUGCUUAACACAUGCAAGUCGAACGGAAAGGCCCUGCUUUUGUGGGGUGCUCGAGUGGCGAACGGGUGAGUAACACGUGAGUAACCUGCCCUUGACUUUGGGAUAACUUCAGGAAACUGGGGCUAAUACCGGAUAGGAGCUCCUGCUGCAUGGUGGGGGUUGGAAAGUUUCGGCGGUUGGGGAUGGACUCGCGGCUUAUCAGCUUGUUGGUGGGGUAGUGGCUUACCAAGGCUUUGACGGGUAGCCGGCCUGAGAGGGUGACCGGCCACAUUGGGACUGAGAUACGGCCCGGACUCCUACGGGAGGCAGCGGUGGGGAAUAUUGCACAAUGGGCGGAAGCCUGAUGCAGCAACGCCGCGUGCGGGAUGACGGCCUUCGGGUUGUAAACCGCUUUCGCCUGUGACGAAGCGUGAGUGACGGUAAUGGGUAAAGAAGCACCGGCUAACUACGUG